rnacentral:rRNA from 1 species
UACGUAGGGUGCGAGCGUUGUCCGGAAUUAUUGGGCGUAAAGAGCUCGUAGGCGGUCUGUCGCGUCGAUCGUGAAAACUUGGGGCUUAACCCUGAGCUUGCGGUCGAUACGGGCAUGACUGGAGUUCGGCAGGGGAGACUGGAAUUCCUGGUGUAGCGGUGAAAUGCGCAGAUAUCAGGAGGAACACCGGUGGCGAAGGCGGAUCUCUGGGCCUGUCCUGACGCUGAGGCGCGAAAGCUAGGGGAGCGAACAGG